UACAGAGGGUGCAAGCGUUGUUCGGAAUCAUUGGGCGUAAAGCGCACGUAGGCGGUUUUGCAAGUUGGAUGUGAAAGCCCGGAGCUUAACUUCGGAAGUGCAUCCAAAACUGCAUGACUUGAGUCCCGGAGAGGAUAGUGGAAUUCCCGGUGUAGAGGUGAAAUUCGUAGAUAUCGGGAGGAACACCAGUGGCGAAGGCGACUAUCUGGACGGAGACUGACGCUGAGGUGCGAAAGCGUGGGGAGCAAACAGG
rnacentral:rRNA from 1 species